CAAUAGCGUAUAUUAAAGUUGUUGCAGUUAAAAAGCUCGUAGUUGGAUUUCUGGCAGGAGCGACCGGUCACACACUCUGUGUGUGAACUUGCGUUGUCUCUGGCCAUCCUUGGGAAGAUCCUGUUUGGCAUUAAGUUGUCGGGCAGGGGAUACCCAUCGUUUACUGUGAAAAAAUUAGAGUGUUUAAAGCAGGCUUAUGCCGUUGAAUAUAUUAGCAUGGAAUAAUAAGAUAGGACUUCGGAACUAUUUUGUUGGUUUGCGUUACGAAGUAAUGAUUAAUAGGGACAGUUGGGGGUAUUCGUAUUUCGUUGUCAGAGGUGAAAUUCUUGGAUUUCCGAAAGACGAACUACUGCGGAAGCAUUUACCAAGGAUGUUUUCAUUAA
rnacentral:rRNA from 1 species